rnacentral:rRNA from 1 species
CCUACGGGAGGCAGCAGUAGGGAAUAUUGCUCAAUGGGGGAAACCCUGAAGCAGCAACGCCGCGUGGGGGAUGAAGGUUUUCGGAUUGUAAACUCCUUUUGUUAGGGAAGAUAAUGACGGUAUCUAACGAAUAAGCACCGGCUAACUCCGUGCCAGCAGCCGCGGUAAUACGGAGGGUGCAAGCGUUACUCGGAAUCACUGGGCGUAAAGAGCGCGUAGGCGGGAUAGCAAGUCAGAUGUGAAAUCCUAUGGCUUAACCAUAGAACUGCAUUUGAAACUGUUAUUCUAGAGUAUGGGAGAGGUAGGUGGAAUUCUUGGUGUAGGGGUAAAAUGCGUAGAGAUUAAGAGGAAUACUCAUUGCGAAGGCGACCUGCUAGAACAUAACUGACGCUGAUGCGCGAAAGCGUGGGGAGCAAACAGGAUUAGAUACCCCUGUAGUC